CCUACGGGUGGCAGCAGUGAGGAAUAUUGGUCAAUGGGCGGAAGCCUGAACCAGCCAAGUAGCGUGCAGGAUGACGGCCCUACGGGUUGUAAACUGCUUUUAUACGGGAAUAACGCGCCUUACGUGUAGGGUUUUGCAUGUACCGUAUGAAUAAGGACCGGCUAAUUCCGUGCCAGCCGCCGCGGUAAUACGGAAGGUCCGGGCGUUAUCCGGAUUUAUUGGGUUUAAAGGGAGCGUAGGUGGGUUGUUAAGCAUGCUGUGAAAUGUCCGGGCUCAACCCGGGCCUUGCAGCGCGAACUGGCCGGCUUGAGUCCGCGGCAAGCAGGCGGAAUUCGUCGUGUAGCGGUGAAAUGCUUAGAUAUGACGAAGAACCCCGAUUGCGAAGGCAGCUUGCUGCAGCGGAACUGACGCUGAUGCUCGAAAGCGCGGGUAUCGAACAGGAUUAGAUACCCCGGUAGUC
rnacentral:rRNA from 1 species